rnacentral:rRNA from 1 species
GGUGAGGUAAUGGCUCACCAAGGCGUCGACGGGUAGCCGGCCUGAGAGGGUGACCGGCCACACUGGGACUGAGACACGGCCCAGACUCCUACGGGAGGCAGCAGUGGGGAAUAUUGCACAAUGGGCGAAAGCCUGAUGCAGCAACGCCGCGUGAGGGAUGACGGCCUUCGGGUUGUAAACCUCUUUUAGCAGGGAAGAAGCGAAAGUGACGGUACCUGCAGAAAAAGCGCCGGCUAACUACGUGCCAGCAGCCGCGGUAAUACGUAGGGCGCAAGCGUUAUCCGGAAUUAUUGGGCGUAAAGAGCUCGUAGGCGGUUUGUCGCGUCUGCUGUGAAAUCCCGAGGCUCAACCUCGGGCCUGCAGUGGGUACGGGCAGACUAGAGUGCGGUAGGGGAGAUUGGAAUUCCUGGUGUAGCGGUGGAAUGCGCAGAUAUCAGGAGGAACACCGAUGGCGAAGGCAGAUCUCUGGGCCGUAACUGACGCUGAGGAGCGAAAGGGUGGGGAGCAAACAGGCUUAGAUACCCUGGUAGUCCACCCCGUAAACGUUGGGAACUAGUUGUGGGGACCAUUCCACGGUUUCCGUGACGCAGCUAACGCAUUAAGUUCCCCGCCUGGGGAGUACGGCCGCAAGGCUAAAACUCAAAGGAAUUGACGGGGACCCGCACAAGCGGCGGAGCAUGCGGAUUAAUUCGAUGCAACGCGAAGAACCUUACCAAGGCUUGACAUACACCAGAACGGGCCAGAAAUGGUCAACUCUUUGGACACUGGUGAACAGGUGGUGCAUGGUUGUCGUCAGCUCGUGUCGUGAGAUGUUGGGUUAAGUCCCGCAACGAGCGCAAC